rnacentral:rRNA from 1 species
UACGUAGGGCGCAAGCGUUAUCCGGAAUUAUUGGGCGUAAAGAGCUCGUAGGCGGUCUGUCGCGUCUGCCGUGAAAGUCCGGGGCUCAACUCCGGAUCUGCGGUGGGUACGGGCAGACUAGAGUGAUGUAGGGGGAGACUGGAAUUCCUGGUGUAGCGGUGAAAUGCGCAGAUAUCAGGAGGAACACCGAUGGCGAAGGCAGGUCUCUGGGCAUUAACUGACGCUGAGGAGCGAAAGCAUGGGGAGCGAACAGG